rnacentral:tRNA from 1 species
AGAGGUGUGCUCAAAUGGUUAGAGUACCUGCCUAGGAAGCAUGAGGCUCUGAGUUCAAGUCCCAGUACCACAA